rnacentral:rRNA from 1 species
AAAUGAAUAGACGGGGGCCCGCACAAGCAGCGGAGCAUGUGGUUUAAUUCGAAGCAACGCGAAGAACCUUACCAGGGCUUGACAUCCCUCUGGCAGGUGUAGAGAUACACUUUUCCUUCGGGACAGAGGAGACAGGUGGUGCAUGGUUGUCGUCAGCUCGUGUCGUGAGAUGUUGGGUUAAGUCCCGCAACGAGCGCAACCCCUAUUUUCAGUUGCCAUCAGGUUAAGCUGGGCACUCUGGAGAGACUGCCGGGGACAACUCGGAGGAAGGUGGGGAUGACGUCAAAUCAUCAUGCCCCUUAUGUCCUGGGCUACACACGUGCUACAAUGGCCUGUAACAAAGGGCAGCGAAGGCGCAAGUCGGAGCGAAUCCCAUAAACCAGGUCCCAGUUCGGAUUGUGGGCUGCAACCCGCCCACAUGAAGUCGGAGUUGCUAGUAAUCGCGAAUCAGCAUGUCGCGGUGAAUGCGUUCCCGGGCCUUGUACACACCGCCCGU